rnacentral:lncRNA from 1 species
UUUUAUAAAAAUAACUUUUUGACAUUUAAUGUUGUUUAUUUGAAAUAUCCACUAUUCACCUUGUAGUAUAAAGCAGUAUGAAAGAGUCCAGAUGAAGAUGAUGAUGAAGGUCAUGUUGAUGAAGAUUGUUGUGUGUGUCAGUGAUGAAGUGUUAAACUCACAGCACUAUAAACACUCUCAGAGCACUGAAGCAUCUGAUCAAUAUGCAAACACACUCACAUCAUUUACCUGCAGACAGUCGCUCAUUAACAGACACAAAUCCUUUUCAUAAUAUCAUAUCUUCUAAUAGCAAAUCUGAUAUAAAUUGUAUCAGACCAUUCACUACUGAAUAAAUCGAUUAGACUGACUAUAUGGUCCUGACUCUCUCCUGAGACUGUGAGAAUAUUUUUGACUGUAGUUUGAUAGAAACAUGAUUAAUGUUAAUUCAUUAAUUUGAUGUCAAAUCCGUGGAUGUUGUGCAGGUUUUUACAGACAUGAGGAUCAUCACACGUGUCUCUGUCAAUCACUGAAUCAACUGAGUUUGAUUGUGAGUCACGUCACACUUGAUAUAAAAGUGAAUUUCUUUCAAUAAUUGAGGUUGAUGUUUUAGUAAUAAGACAGAUGAAGUAAAUGCAGGUGAUGUGUGCUGUGAGUGUGUGUUUGUUGGAGACUCAGUUGAUGUGUGUUUGUUCAGUUAGUGAAGCGUUCAGGAGGUUUUUGUUCAGCUGCUCUAUUAGUUUGUAUCACUGUGGUGGACUUUCGGCAGCGGCACCAAACUGGAUGUUGGCAGCGUCACUCGUCCUAAAGUGAGCGUCCUGCCGCCCUCCAGUGCAGAGAUCUCCUCAAAGAAGACAGCGACACUGGUGUGUGUGGCCAGCAAGGGCUUCCGUCAGACUGGAGCCUGAGCUGGAAGGUGGACGGGAGCAGCAGGUCUCAGGAGAGCAGCGCUGGGCUCCUGGAGAAGGACGGUCUGUACAGCUGGAGCAGCAGCCUGACUCUCUCUGAGCAGGAGUGGAUGGAGAGCGUCCUCAGUGAGCUGUGAGGCCACACGGAGCGGUCAGCCUGCGCUCACUGGACACGUGACGAGACAGCAGUGUUCAGAGUAGAUCUGCUGCUCUUCUCACUCAUGUCU